rnacentral:lncRNA from 1 species
AAACCCUUGAAGGAAGAUUUUUCCUGCAGUUUGUAACAAGAGUCCCUUUGAAACUAAUGGAGAUGAACGGGGUUCGGCAGAACAAAGUUUGUCCUUCAUAUCCAACUGGGAAAGAUAAAGCCAGCUGACCUAUUUCCAUGGGACUCCAGACUCCUGCAGUGUUUACUUACAGAGUCACAGACCAGCUUCCCGGAUGAGGGGGACUCUGCCCUGAGGCUGCUCACACACUC